GCCGUCGUAGCUCAAUGGGAGAGCAGCACCUUAAUGCCUUCAACUGUUCUUUAAAAACGGCUAAUGACCGCCAUGGCAGAACAGGGUGUUGGUUAAGGGUUCGAAUCCCUUCGACGGCU
rnacentral:tRNA from 1 species